rnacentral:lncRNA from 1 species
UGGACGACCAACCGCUGCUUUCCUGUGAACUCGAGUGCCCUUGGGCUUUCUCCAGGGCCGUCAGCCCACCACCUGCAUAGAGCUGCCCGUGCUCAGCUUCACUACCUGCCCCGGCCCCCGAGGACCUGAGAUUGCAACCCCAGAGGCAGGCGCUGUCCGUUUGCACUCUUACCCACCCAGGCCAGCAGGAGCGAUGGCGCGAGUGUGAGAAGUGAGACCCUGGUGCCCACCAGCAGGCUCAGCCCGAGCGCCUUCCCACAGUCCUGUUGUCACCUGGGAUCCCCCUGCCGGAGAUUCGCCCUUGAGGGCAGAUGCAAGCUCCCUCAGGGAAGGAGGAGCGGCCACUGCACACUGUUGGGCUGGCGGAAAGGGCUGCUUAAGAUGGCGAAAGUUCCCGCCACAAGACCUGAACUCAGACGGGAGAACAAAGACCCAAGCAGGAAUCUGAAAACCCUCCCGCCCUGGGGCUCCCAUGGACCAAUGGGACCCUGACAAGCAGGAAUCUGAGACCCCCGCCCCGGGCUCCUGUGGACCAAUGGGAUCCCGAUGAAAGCGGGAGGGGGGGGAUAUCAGAAUAAGGGAAACUUGCCAAAAGACCCCUGAGCUUUCCCCAAGACCCCUUAAAAGCCCCCUCAUCCCUGCCUGGGGCACGACUUCGCCACUCUGCUUUCCAGAGUCAUGGAACCUCGCCCGAGGGUGCCCACCUCCUCCUGGGGCAACUUUCCUGGCUCCCCUUCUCCUGAGCCCUGAAACUUCGCCAGAGAGUGCUUUUAAUAAAUAUUGUCUUGCACCCAC